UAGAGUUUGAUCCUGGCUCAGAUUGAACGCUGGCGGUAUGCUUAACACAUGCAAGUCGAACGAGUAGUUACUUCGGUAACGAGAGUGGCGGACGGGUGAGUAACGCGUAGGAAUCUGCCUGUUAGUGGGGGACAACGUGGGGAAACUCAAGCUAAUACCGCAUACGCCCCACGGGGGAAAGGAGGGGACCUUCGGGCCUUCCGCUAACAGAUGAGCCUGCGUCGGAUUAGCUAGUUGGUAGGGUAAAGGCCUACCAGGGCGACGAUCUAUAGCUGGUCUGAGAGGACGAUCAGCCACACUGGGACUGAGACACGGCCCAGACUCCUACGGGAGGCAGCAGUGGGGAAUAUUGGACAAUGGGCGCAAGCCUGAUCCAGCAAUACCGCGUGUGUGAAGAAGGCCUUAGGGUUGUAAAGCACUUUCAAUGGGGAGGAAAACCUGCCGGUCAAUACCCGGUAGCUUGACAUUACCUAUAGAAGAAGCACCGGCUAACUCCGUGCCAGCAGCCGCGGUAAUACGGAGGGUGCGAGCGUUAAUCGGAAUUACUGGGCGUAAAGCGUGCGUAGGCGGCUCGUUAAGUCAGAUGUGAAAGCCCUGGGCUCAACCUGGGAACUGCAUUUGAAACUGGCGAGCUAGAGUUGAGUAGAGGGGAGUGGAAUUUCAGGUGUAGCGGUGAAAUGCGUAGAUAUCUGAAGGAACACCAGUGGCGAAGGCGACUCCCUGGACUCAAACUGACGCUGAGGUACGAAAGCGUGGGUAGCAAACAGGAUUAGAUACCCUGGUAGUCCACGCUGUAAACGAUGUCAACUAGCCGUUGGUCCUAUUUACAGGAUUAGUGGCGCAGCUAACGCAUUAAGUUGACCGCCUGGGGAGUACGGCCGCAAGGUUAAAACUCAAAGGAAUUGACGGA
rnacentral:rRNA from 1 species